UUCUUUCGAGUCUGUAGUUGCGGGUUUUUCAACCUCAGUCCACGGCAGAUGCGGUCGAAAGGACCCACGUAAGCCGCGCGGUCUCCGCGCGACGAUCAUGGCGUAUCCUAGAGGUAAGCCGCACCGCCUGAGUAUCGCGACAUCCGGUUGCGACGGGCGAGAGGGCAAGGCGCAAGCUGAGUUCCAGUGCGCGAGUGUGGGGGCAAAGACUAGGUCAGUCGAAAGAG
rnacentral:ncRNA from 33 species